GCCAGAGUGGUGUAGUGGUUUGAGUGCUGGACCAUAACUCUGGAGGCCAGAGUUUGAUUCCCUGCUUGGCCA